GGAGUAGGAGUUGAUAGGGAAUCCAUGGUCUUCGUGGAAUCCAGAGAAUUGAAGAGAAGUAACAGGGAGUUGAAUAAUAACAACAAGAGCCAAGGUGUUGCAGUGGAAAUAGGUGUCGGAGGAGAUCG